rnacentral:rRNA from 1 species
UACGGAGGGUGCAAGCGUUAUCCGGAUUCACUGGGUUUAAAGGGUGCGUAGGUGGGCUUGUAAGUCAGUGGUGAAAUCUCCGGGCUUAACCCGGAACUGCCAUUGAUACUAUAGGUCUUGAAUUAUCUGGAGGUCAGCGGAAUAUGUCAUGUAGCGGUGAAAUGCUUAGAUAUGACAUAGAACACCAAUUGCGAAGGCAGCUGGCUACAGGUAUAUUGACACUGAGGCGCGAAAGCGUGGGGAGCGAUCCGG